UAUGUUUCUUUAAAAAUAUUAAAGUUCCAGCAGAAGGCUUUUGACCGCUCUUUGGUUUGAUCUUUAUGGCUGUGGUGGCACUUUUGGUUGUUCCUCUGCUUUUGAACAUGUUUUUGCAGGAGAAAUUAAGCAGCGUGGUGAAGAAGAGGUUUCUGGCUUCCACAAUUGGAUUCAGGAACUAAUUGCAAAGGUCUUCAUGAUAAUGAACGGAAAUUCAGACAUAUAUUUCGAGGAGACUUGUAGCAACACUAAAGUAAUUGGUACGUGAAGCAGAUCAAGGAAGAUCCAUGCAAAGUUUAU